UCUCGGCCUUUUGGCUAAGAUCAAGUAUCUUGUCGGACGGUUGAGACUGCGAUCGCCUCUUGGAGGUUUCCUGACUCGAGAUCGUUUCAUAUCUUGAGUCACACAACUUCGAGAGGUAUAUUGAACUCUGCUGCUUCGGGCUCCAACAAGUUUUAAGGUACACAAAAAUGGAAGAGCUAUGGUCCGCAGGAGCCUCCAUAUGGAGCGGAUCAAAUUUUAACAAAAACGACGGAGUUGCGGUUUUAAUUAAUAAUCCUAACAUCUUGGUGAAGGGCAGCACUGUGGUGAGCCCCCCUCGGUGGUUCCUGGGGAAAUUGGAGAGGGCGGUGUUUUACUUCCUGUGGGGGUCCAAGUGGGAGCGCCUGAAGAGGGAGACCAUCAAGAAAAGGCCGGAGAACGGUGGAAAAGGCCUCCCAGACCCCCACCUGUUUUUAGGCAGCCGCUUCACCGCCCUGCACAUUAGUUAUGCCACGACCCCAUCCAAAGAAAACAAGACGGCUGCAAUGGCGCGAUUUUGGAUGGGGUCUUACCUACGAACACUGAAAAUUUUACCAGUGGACUUGAAAACCCCAGUGUCUUUUAACUUGCCCAAAGAGACCGGGAACCGGUUAGUCCAGUUCCGGGCCUCACACCAAGUGAGGCCAAACAGGUUUGGCGGAACGCGGCUCACCCCGCUCUCCAGAACAGGCACAAGGACUUAUCGUGGAUGGUGGCUCAUGAGAUCCUCCCGGUCAGGGCGGUUAUGCACUCCAGAGGCAUGGCCAAGAACCCCAUCUGCCCGCGGUCCGGCUGCAAUUCCCCGGAGACCGUCCACCACCUGCUCUGGGAGUGCAGCACUGCGCGGGACCUGUGGGCCAAGACCGGCCCCCUGUAUUUCCCGUGCCUACCAGCGGGUGGGGCCCAGUUCGGGUACCAGCUCGCCAUCCUUGGGGUGGGCCGGGGCUUGAAGGACUUGACGGCACAGAAAUUUACCUCGCUCUGGCUCACCCUCAACGUCAUCAAGGAUGCCAUCUGGGCCACCAGAAACCUGCUGGUGGGGAAGCGCGUUACAGUAACCCUCCAUGCAUGCGAGCUAAAGGUAACAUCAAUGCUGCAGGGGUACCGGACGACGAUAUUCGGACGGGGGGGCCGGGGUCGCACGGAGAGGGUCCCGGCAGGCACCGACCCUGGCCGCCCGUAGAUGCACCCUCACCACUCUGGCUACGGGAACAGCGGGCCAGCGGGCCGGAGGAGAGGGGAUCUCCGCUGAGUCCAUAAAGUAGCAUCUCAUGUCCCUGUUCUGGAGAGUGGGGUGAUGACCCACUUGAUAAGGACUCACCCCCGGUCUUGCACAAUAGAUGAUUUUUAAUUGGUGUUUUUUAUUGUUUUAUCAUGAAAGAGGUUUUAUUAACAUAUAUAUAUAUAUAUAUAUAUAUAUAUACGAGGCUUGUUUGCUUUUUUAAAAAUUUGUAUUUUACUUUUGGAACUGACCGCACCUUUUAAACACACCUCAAUAAUGGACUUUUAAAAACAAGCAAAACACUGUGGUUUUAAUCAAAUGCUUUUUAACAAUGAUUGUUUCUUUCAUUUUACCAUGUGUAUUUAUUAUAUAUUAUAUUGCUUGUUUUAAUGUGUGAUUAAAAAGAAAAUGUUGUGUGAAAAAGAAAAAAUGCAAAUGGAAAAAAUGUAAAUGGUGACAAUAAAACUUU